rnacentral:rRNA from 1 species
GUGUACGUACAAGCAGUGGGAGCCCCACCACUAAGCCAGUGGUGAACUCCACAUACGCAUCCUUUGCUGAGGAUACGGUUAACGGAGCGAAAGCGACGUUCAACCGCAAAAGAAGCAGAGGGGGCUUAGUGGUGGGGUGACUGCGUACCUUUUGUAUAAUGGGUCAGCGACUUAUAUUCUGUAGCAAGGUUAACCGAAUAGGGGAGCCGGAGGGAAACCGAGUCUUAACCGGGCGUUAAGUUGCAGGGUAUAGACCCGAAACCCGGUGAUCUAGCCAUGGGCAGGUUGAAGGUUGGGUAACACUAACUGGAGGACCGAACCGACUAAUGUUGAAAAAUUAGCGGAUGACCUGUGGCUGGGGGUGAAAGGCCAAUCAAACCGGGAGAUAGCUGGUUCUCCCCGAAAGCUAUUUAGGUAGCGCCUCGUGAAUUCAUCUCCGGGGGUAGAGCACUGUUUCGGCUAGGGGGCCAUCCCGGCUUACCAACCCGAUGCAAACUGCGAAUACCGGAGAAUGUUAUCACGGGAGACACACGGCGGGUGCUAACGUCCGUCGUGAAGAGGGAAACAACCCAGACCGCCAGCUAAGGUCCCAAAGUCAUGGUUAAGUGGGAAACGAUGUGGGAAGGCCCAGACAGCCAGGAUGUUGGCUUAGAAGCAGCCAUCAUUUAAAGAAAGCGUAAUAGCUCACUGGUCGAGUCGGCCUGCGCGGAAGAUGUAACGGGGCUAAACCAU